rnacentral:rRNA from 1 species
AAUGGCUGCAGUAAUUUGACUGUACAAAGGUAGCAUAAUCAUUAGUUUUUUAAUUAAAAGCUUGUAUGAAAGGUCGGACGAAAUAAAAUCUGUCUCUUUUUAAUAUAUUAGAAUUUAAUUUUUAAGUUAAAAAGCUUAAAUUUUUAUAAAAGACGAGAAGACCCUAUAGAGUUUUAUAAUUUUAAUUUAAUAAUUAAUUUAGAUUUAUUAAUUUUAUUUUUUUAAAAUUAUUUUAUUGGGGUAAUAAAAAGAUUUAAAAAAUUCUUUUUUUUAAAAAUCAUUAAUUUAUGAAAAUUUUAUGAUCCAUUAAAUUUUGAAUAUAAGAUUAAAUUACCUUAGGGAUAACAGCGUAAUUUUUUUUAAGAGUUCAUAUCGAUAAAAAAGUUUGCGACCUCGAUGUUGGAUUAAAGAUUAAUUUAGGGGUAGAAGUUUAAAUUUUUGGUCUGUUCGACCAUUAAAUCUUUACAUGAUCUGAGUUCAAACCGGUGUAAGCCAGGUCGGUUUCUAU